AAUGAACGUUGGCGGCGUGGAUUAGGCAUGCAAGUCGCGCGAGGAACGUAGCAAUACGUGGAAAGCGGCGUAAGGGAGAGUAAUGCAUGGUUAGCUACCCCCGGGACUGGGAUAGCGGCGGGAAACUGCCGGUAAUACCAGAUGAUGUCUUCGGACCAAACGUGUAAAUCGGCCCGGGGAGGUGACCAUGUCCUAUCAGCUUGUUGGCGGGGUAACGGCCCACCAAGGCAAAGACGGGUACGGGGCGUGAGGGCGUGCCCCCACUCACUGGGACUGAGACACUGCCCAGACACCUACGGGUGGCUGCAGUCGAGAAUCUUCGGCAAUGGGCGCAAGCCUGACCGAGCGACGCCGCGUGCGGGAUGAAGGCCUUCGGGUUGUAAACCGCUGUCGUAGGGGAGGAAGGUCUGGUGUAUAGCCAGGCUUGACCGAUCCUAGGAGGAAGGGCCGGCUAAUCUCGUGGCAGCAGCCGCAGCAAAAC
rnacentral:rRNA from 1 species